UACGUAGGGUCCAAGCGUUAUCCGGAAUCACUGGGCGUAAAGCGUGCGCAGGCGGUCUGUUAAGACCGAUGUGAAAUCCCCGGGCUUAACCUGGGAACUGCAUUGGUGACUGGCAGGCUUUGAGUGUGGCAGAGGGAGGUAGAAUUCCACGUGCAGCAGUGAAAUGCGUAGAGAUGUGGAGGAAUACCGAUGGCGAAGGCAGCCUCCUGGGCCAACACUGACGCUCAUGCACGAAAGCGUGGGGAGCAAACAGG
rnacentral:rRNA from 1 species